rnacentral:rRNA from 1 species
UACGUAGGGGGCAAGCGUUAUCCGGAUUUACUGGGUGUAAAGGGAGCGUAGGUGGUUCGGUAAGUCAGAUGUGAAAGCCCGGGGCUCAACCCCGGGACUGCAUUUGAAACUAUCGGACUGGAGUGCAGGAGAGGUAAGUGGAAUUCCUAGUGUAGCGGUGAAAUGCGUAGAUAUUAGGAGGAACACCAGUGGCGAAGGCGGCUUACUGGACUGUAACUGACACUGAGGCUCGAAAGCGUGGGGAGCAAACAGG